GAUCACAAUGAGAUCUGGUGCCCUCUUCUGGCCUACAGGUAAGAUACUGUAUAAAUAAUAAAUAAAUGUUUUAAAAAUAAAUAAAUAAAUAAAUGCUAUUACCUGGGAAGGAAAUCAGGUCUCUAUGAACACCAUUUAAAAAAAAUGGAAAAAAAUCUGUAUGUACAGAUGGAACAUGCCUUCAAGUACCAAGCAGCCAAAGGAGAAGGUCGCUACUGAUGGAUUCCAAAGGUUCCUUUCUGUAAAGGACACCCUGCGGCCUCCAACACCUGCUGCACACAGUGGUCCUAGCAGUUGGGGCAGAGGCAGGAAGAUCAGGAGUUUGGAGAUACCAGGUAGCUACCAACAAGGAGACUUUAAGGGAUUAAAAACUCAAGAAAGAAAAGAUUAUGCCUUGACAUCCUCACUACGAUGGACCUGGAAUUGAGAACCAAACCCUUCCUUCCUUAAGUCACUUUCUUUACGUCAGGGUAUUUUGCCAUAGCAACGUGAAAGGAAACUAGGACAAGCCUGGAGGAACAAGAGCUACAUCCUCAGAAAGAGGCUGGGUAGCUGUAUGCUCAGCCUUCGCAGCCCCAAGACCAGCCCAGGCAGUCCAGUUACAAUUUGGGCCAAGGUUGCUUGUCCUGCUUCCCACCAACCUAAAACAGAAAGAUCUGGGCAGAGACACCACAUGGAGAUGCUGUGCGGGGACUCCACUCAGCCACGUGGAGAUGCUGUGUGGGGACUCCACUCAGCAGAUGUGUGCUUGUUCACAACAGCCAGAACUAAAGUUUACAAAGGAAAACCAUGUGACUCAGACCAGGAAACAGACCGAGAAAUAAGCGCACAGCAGAGGGAGUGGACUUGACUGGACAGACUGGAUAGCUGUGACUACUAUGUCCAGGAAAUGGAUCUGGAGACAGACACUUGCACAGAGAAGUGGAACGUAUUUCAGAAUCCAACUGAAAAUCCAAAGCAGAAAUUCAACUUGAAUUCACUGGAUGAGCUUAAGAACAGAUUAGAUUCAGUGGAAGAGAGGAAGUGUGAACUGGAAGGUAGGGCAGAAGGAAAUCUUCAGGCAGCAGCAGGAUGAUUCAGCAGAGCCCACAGUGAGAGGCCCGGGGCAUGGCCCCUGGCGCAGGUCUAAGAUGAAGUGAGCCCCUGGUGGGGAGGAAACAGUGUUCAGGAAGUAAUAUUUGGGUGGGCAGUGGUGGCACACACCUUUAAUCCUAGCACUCGGAGGCAGAGGAAUGUGGAUCUCUGAGUUCGAGGCCAGCCUGGUCUGCAGAGCAUGUCCCAGGACAACCAGGAUUACACAGAGAAACCUGCCUCGAAAAAUUUUUAAAAAGAGAUAAUAUUUGAAGGCAUAAUAAAAGAGGAUUUUUCAAAACUGACCAAAGAGGAACCAUGAUUGCAGAAAUAGCAUCCAUCCAAUAGAAAAGCCCCCCACCCCAACCCACAGUUCUUGUUAGAAGAGAAAAGCCGAAGACAUUCCAGCUGCCGUUUGCCAAGUAAUGCAAACUUGGGCUUAGGUGUUCAUUGUUCACAAAGCAAGACAGUGUUUCCAGAGGAAAUAAAGGACUCGCAUCCGAGUUUUCAACACAAAUGAUGGAGAGUAACUGCCCUUGUUACCCAUGUAGAAGCUUCUACCAAUCAAAGCCUUGUACACAGCAGUGGGCAGAGCACAAGAAUUCACCAUCAUGAGCAUAUGCCAAAGGAAAUUUAAUGACAGGAUUGCUUCAGCAGGGGAAGCCUAGAAGUCCAGCAAGGAGCCAGCACCACAGAGGGUACUUUUGAAGGGAAGUGAUAAUAACAUAGACAAGAGUAGUCAUGCCAGAAGUUCGAAACAAAAGCAGAAUAUGAACCAGUGCAAUACUUACCCGAAGCAGGGACAGCUGAGGUUCCUGUGGUGAAGGAAGUGGUGGAGGGUCGGGCAGAUGAGUUCCGGGUCAUUUUCGGAAAUCCAAAUACUCACAGAGCCCACAGCCCCACAGAUGCUAAGCAAAAGAGUCAUCAAAAGGCCAUGAGAUGGUCUAGCAAGGCAUUUGCCCUACAAGCUUGUUAACCUGAGCUUCAUGCCUGAAACCCAUGACCGGAGGAGAAAACUGACUCCCGAAAGUUGUCUUCUUUCUCUCUCUCUCUCUCUCUCUCUCUCUCUCUCUCUCACACACACACACACACACACACACACACACACUAACAGUUUACUGCCAAAAGCCCAAAUGGAAUUCAUGACCGAGAAAAUCAGGCAAGACCUGUGUGUUGUUUGGUAGGCUGCACACUAUAAAAAAUCUGAAGUCAUCACUCUUACCCAGCAGGGCAAGUUUUUGCGAUGUGUUUCCUGGCAUAAGUAGACAGCAAGCAAUGAAGCCAGGAAAACUUAUACAUAAUGCUUAACAUCUGGUGCACACUGUAAAAAAAAAAAUGCAGUUCCUGAGAUUGAAAUCCCAGAUAAUCACAUGCAGCAAGCAGAAGAAUGGGAAAUGGGAGGGGCACAGAGAGAAGCAAGCCACACAUAGCCCUUGCCUGGCUCAAGAUGUAAACACAGGUAUUAGGUGCUAACAGAAUGAUGGGCAUUUAAAUACAUAAAAAUAUUCGUUAUGAAUAUACUUUGCUGUGUCAAUAUUCAGUUUCAAUGAAAAA